GAUGAACGCUAGCGGCAGGCCUAACACAUGCAAGUCGAGGGGUAUAGUUCUUCGGAACUAGAGACCGGCGCACGGGUGCGUAACGCGUAUGCAAUCUACCUUUUACAGGGGAAUAGCCCAGAGAAAUUUGGAUUAAUGCCCCAUAGUGUUAUAGAAUCGCAUGGUUUUAUAACUAAAGUUCCAACGGUAAAAGAUGAGCAUGCGUCCCAUUAGUUAGUUGGCAAGGUAACGGCUUACCAAGACAAUGAUGGGUAGGGGUCCUGAGAGGGAGAUCCCCCACACUGGUACUGAGACACGGACCAGACUCCUACGGGAGGCAGCAGUGAGGAAUAUUGGACAAUGGGCGCAAGCCUGAUCCAGCCAUGCCGCGUGCAGGAAGACGGUCCUAUGGAUUGUAAACUGCUUUUUGUACAGGAAGAAACACUCCCUCGUGAGGGAGCUUGACGGUACUGUAAGAAUAAGGAUCGGCUAACUCCGUGCCAGCAGCCGCGGU
rnacentral:rRNA from 1 species